CCUGAACAGACACUUCUCAGAAGAUGAUAUACAAUCAGUCAACAAAUAUAUGAAAAAAUGUUCAUCAUCACUAGCAUUUAGAGAAAUGCAAAUCAAAACCACUCUAAGAUUUCAUCUCACUCCAGUCAGAAUGGCAGCUAUUAUGAAUAUAGACAACAAUAAGUAUUGGCAAGGAUAUGGGGAAAAAGGUACACUCACACACUGCUGGUGGGACUGCAAAUUGGUGCAACCAAUAUGGAAAGCAGUAUGGAGAUUUUUUGGAAAAUUGGGAAUGGAACCACCAUUUGACCCAGAUAUCCCUCUCCUUAGUCUAUACCCAAAGGACUUAAAAACAGCAAACUACAGGGACACAGCCACAUCAAUGUUUAUAGCAGCACAAUUCACAAUAGCUAAACUGUGGAACCAACCUAGAGGCCCUUCAAUAGAGGAAUGGAUUAAAAAAAUAUGGCAUAUAUACACAAUGGAAUAUUACUCAGCAGUAAAAGAGAAUAAAAUCAUGGCAUUUUCAGGUAGAUGGAUGGAGUUAGAGAAGAUAAUGCUAAGUGAAGUUAGCCAACCCCAAAAAACCAAAGGCCGAAUGUUUUCUUUGAUAUAAGGAGGCUUAUUCAUAGUGGGAUAGGGAGAGGGAUCAUGGGAGGAAUAGAUGAACUCUAG
rnacentral:lncRNA from 1 species